rnacentral:lncRNA from 1 species
CAUGUUCCCUGCUAGUAUGGCAGCAGUAGAAGCUUAGCAGCAGCAGAGGCGGACGCGAACGCCGUGCUGCUGAUCACAAAAUUGAGGCGGUCAACUAUUCUACAGCUGAAAGACGGCAGAUCUCACAGGCCUUGAGCUGACCGUAGUUUUUUGAGACGUACUACUAAUGAAACUGUUUGGUAUGUACUAAUGCUAGCCUCACGUUUCAGUCUGGAUGUGUAUCAACUGCAACUCAUUCAUUUGUACUAUGAUACUAUUUGAGCAGGCGUAUUGGUGAGAACUCUGCUCACGCCCGCCAAGGUCGCCUUGCUCUGCGCCAUGCUCGGUGAGUGACCCUCUCUGAUGGGAUUCUCUAUCACAAAAUGUUGAUCAUUUUAUGUACUGGUGGCUGAAUGAACUGAAUUUUAAUUAGCUGAUGUUGGAGAUAUUUACAGACAGCACAAGGCCAGAAGACGUGGGUCAACGGUGUCAACACCGGCGUUGUCACAGUGAUCAACUACAGUUCUGCUUUUGAGGUUAGAUAUAAAAUCUAUGUUGUUGGAUGUUGGUCGUACUCGUACUACAGUUUGUACCUGAUGCACCGGUGAAUGAGUUGACAAUAUUUACAGUGCAUGAAAGGUAGAAACGAAUUGUUGCAUUCCAUCGACAGUCACAUGAACAAGUAAGAAUUGCAAGCAUGGUCGUAUACUCAUAGGUUCUAAUAGAAUUGCAAGCAAAUACAUGAGAUAAAAAUUUGUAACAUCGAUUAAGCCGGCUUCUGUUGAUGGAAGAAUAGUAGAUUCUGUCUUGGCAUCAUCACAGGGGUAGAAGUACCACUCGUAGGAGUCUGUUGUUGGAAGAAUGAUAGAUUUUUUCCUGGCAUCAUCAUAGGGUUAGAGGUACCACUUGUAGGAGUCUGUUGUUGGGGGAAUGAUAGGUUUUGUCCUGGCAUCAUCAUAGGGGUAGAGGUACCACUCGUACGAGUCUGUUGUUCCAAGAAUGAUAUAUUCUGUCCUGGCAUCAUCAUAGGGGUAGAGGUACCACUUGUAGGAGUCUGUUGUUGGGAGAAUGAUAAAUUUUGUCCUGACAACAUCACAUGGGUAGAGGUACCAAUGGAUUGUCGCAGACUUGAGUUGUAAUGUGCUAAAUAGGGGUGUGCAAGAUUGGACGGAGCUCCCAUAUGACCCUAUGCAGGUAAAUAGCAAAGCUUAGGUCACAGAGGAUUGAAAAUGAGAAAAAGUUAAAAAGAAGACUUCUUUUACCAUUUGGGUUGGGUUGUACUGUGGUAGAUACACAGGCAUUUGGUUUGCGGAAGGCAUUUCAGGUCGUACUUGUAAAAAAUUGGUUGUCUUCUUUUUCUUCUUCGUUUUUGCUUUCUCCGAGCCACCAAUGGAUCUUGCUGAUCCUGAUAUAAUACUUUCUCCCAAAUGACCCUGAGAAGAUUAAUAGCAAAGGUUAGCGUCAUUGUAGUUUGAAAAAGAGAGAAAGUUAUAUGGGUAGACUUUUUAUACCAUUAACAUUGGGUUAUGCGUAGACAUCUGAUUUGUGAAAGGCAUUUCAAUUUUUUCUCCCAAAUGACCCUAAGAAGAUUAAUAGCAAAGCUUAGCGUCAUUGAAUUUUGAAAAUAAGAGAAAGUUAAAUGGGUAGACUUCUUAUACCAUUAACAUUGGGUUAUACACAAACAUUUGAUUUGUGAAAGGCAUUUCAGGUUGUAGUUGGAAAGAAUCAUAUAUCUUCUUUUUCUUCUUUGUUUUUGCUUUCUCCAAGCCACCAAUGGGCCUUGCUGAUCCUCGUGCGGUCUUCUCCUUGACCUUCGUACCCUUUCGGCCUUUCAAGCCCCUCGUUAUGUUUUGAAACCCUACUAGAGUCAAUGUUCGUACCUGCAACCAUAAAGUUAAAUGUAAGUCUUAGUUUGAAAAUACUGUAUGCAACUAGUAGCAUAGUAUAUAACUUGUAUGCAUAUACCUUCCUUUGGGAUCUUAAGUAUAAGGCCAUGUCUCCAGUAGCAAGAUUAUGAUUAUGUGCAGCCUCAAAUUCAUACACAGAAUAUAAUCCGUCUUUAAGACUUAUCUUCAUAUGGGCUUCACAUCCACAUCGUGUUUCAGGCCUACUGUAACUGAAAGAAUCAUCUCUCUUAUCUUCUGCGCGGAAUCAUGUCAAUUAAAAUAAGUAUAUUAGUGAUCCAUAAGUAAUAUAACCAAAACAAAAUACAGGCAUGUCAUACCUUGACGGGAGCAUGUAAAUGUUCGUUGUUGUAUGACAACAGAAUUCUUUACUUUAUGUUGACUCCCUCUUCGGAUGCUAAAACCAAUGGCUUUUGCAUAAUUGUUAUAAAAGGAGUAAGCUUCCUCUUCAGAUAAAAAUUGCAUGCCAAGCUUUGGUACCGUUUCAUUACUGUAAUCUGUUGCAUUGCUAGGAGCAGUUUCAUGCACAUCCUAUAUGAAUCACUAUUCACAUUAGUUCAUAUGCAUAUGCUUGAAAGUUAGAUAUAUGAAACAAUGUUCACAACCAGAUUACCUUUUAGUUGCCCUUGCCACAAGUAAUCAAAUGAUGUUCCAAAAUUGUAGUGUAACUCUUUGAUCCUCAUAGUCAUACUACAUGUCUUGUCUAGAAGGCCGCACUACUGGAAUACUAAAUGCAAACUAAACUAUUCUACAACAGUUGGUAUCUAAAUCAAUUGGAAAUGGACAUAAUGUUAAUUUUUUGAGACUAAUAUAGACUAACGAUAAGAACAAUUAGACAUCUGAUUUUAUUACAUGUAGUACGCUGUGAAUGAAUACCAGAUUCUUGCAUAUGUACAGUUGAAAUUACAUGAAUCACCUAACAAACUAAGUUGUGCAAAACUGCUAUGCCCAUUGUGUCUACAUGGCUGUAUAGUAGUUUUAAUCGGAUUUGAAUAGAUCUUAUACAGUCAUGAUUGGUUUAUUUGUUUGUUAACAGGGAAAAGCAACCAUUUCAACAAGACGGGCAGGAACAACAAAAGGAGAUCAAGAAGAAUAUGAGUCAGAUUUCUUACUUUUCAUCCUUCAGAUUCAUUGUCUUGUUGAUGGUUCCCAUAGUCCGUGCUUGAAGAAGCCAUAGGGGACAAUAGAGCCCCAGUCUGCUUGACGUUUGCACAGUUGACGUUCUCCCUGAAAUUAAUUAAUGGCAAUCGGCUGCGAUUGCAAUUUUUCUUCUUCCUGUGAUUUAAGAUACCUCUGUUAUAUGGGAUGGGCGUCCCUGCUUUUUGGCGCGCACUAGUGAGAUUGACGGUCAUUUUCCCUCCAGAUUUUUGUGCGGGCCUUUUCCGUCCAGAAUCAAUCGCGAGUAUUACCUGCGGGAGAGUAAAAUACGGAAUACGUGGUUGUUUCCUUGUUUUUUGCGCCAGAAAAGGGACGUAGGGAAGGGAAAUU